UAAGAAAGACAGGCAUUGAGCUCCUUUAAUAUAUUUUACAUAAUAAAUAUAACACUUUAAUUAGCUACCUAUGUUUUACGUUAUUUUCAUAUUUUACGUGUUAAAUCUAGUGUUAAAUAGUGAAGCAGGUAUUACAUUCAAUUCGAAUUCAGAAAUGUCGGUAGAUAGAGUGAAUGAUCUGACUUGCAGUUCACAAAUUACCAACGUCGCGGGUUGCACGUACUUGCAUCAAUGGAAUCACGUUUAUUCUCAACCUUGGGUAGGAUUCGAUGGCACGAUAACCAACUACACGACUGUAAAAGCUUAUACCAGUAAAUACACAUUGACAUUGGAGAAAUUUGAUAACCUGACAAGCAUUUACAGUAACUUCGUUUCUAAUGACGUAAACAAUAAUAACGUGAUGUCUAUGCAACUGCAAUGUGGUGGACAUCCGAACAAAAACGUCAUCAAUUUAGUUGAUAAUGGUUAUUAUCACUACACCGUGGAUUUUGUUGUCACAUAUACAGAUAAACCGUUUAAAUUUAACUGCCAGCAAUAUUCGAGUCUUUCAAAAUAUGUAUACGUGGCCUGGAUUAACUCCGAAGGGAAUAGAGUAAUAGUAUUCAAAAACAGUCCAGUUCAAGCCGACUUUUCGUUAUUAAAAACGCACAAUGGUUCAAUAUUGUGUUGUAUUUACUACGUUGAAACUACUACUGAAACUUCAGUGGAUAUAAGACGCUUUGUCAAAAGCAAGACUUUGUUUGUUUAUCAAGAAAACUUACCAGGAAAUGAUUUUAUUACGAAAACAG